rnacentral:rRNA from 1 species
CGCGCGUACGAGGAUACUAGCUGUUGGAGGUAUCGACCCCUUCAGUAGCGAAGCUAACGCGUUAAGUAUCCCGCCUGUGGAGUACGGUCGCAAGACUAAAACAUAAAGGAAUUGACGGGGACCCGCACAAGCGGUGGAUCAUGUUCUUUAAUUCGAUGAUAAACGAAGAACCUUACCAGGGUUUGACAUCCCGAGAAGGCCUCCGAAAGGAGACUGUGCUUUAUUGAACUCGGUGACAGAUGAUGCAUGGCCGUCGUCAGCUCGUGUCGUGAGAUGUUUGGUUAAGUCCAUCAACGAGCGCAACCCUUGUCAGUAGUUGUAUUUUUCUACUGAGACUGCCCCGGUAACGGGGAGGAAGGAGGGGAUGAUGUCAGGUCAGUAUUUCUCUUACAUCCUGGGCUAGAAACGUGAUACAAUGGCAAGUACAAUGCGCAGCGAAGCCGCGAGGUGAAGCAAAUCGCAUCAAAGCUUGUCCCAGUUCGGAUAAGAGGCUGAAACUCGCCUCUUUGAAGUCGGAAUCGCUAGUAAUCGCAAGUCAGCAAAUUGCGGUGAAUACGUUCCCGGGUCUUGUACACACCGCCCGUCAAGCCAUGAAAGUCACCAACACCCGAAGUCCGAUUCGUCGGCCUAAGGUGGGGGGGAUGAUUGGGGUUAAGUCGUAACAAGGUA